AGCGCGUGGGUAAUCUGCCUUUGGGUGGGGAAUAACUUGGGGAAACUUAAGCUAAUACCGCAUAAUAUUUUCGAGUCCUCGGCCUUGAAAAUCAAAGAUGGCGCAGUUCGACUGCUAUCGCUCAGAGAGGAGCCCGCGUCCCAUUAGCUAGUUGGUGGGGUAAUGGCCUACCAAGGCUUCGAUGGGUAGCCGGCCUGAGAGGGUGAUCGGCCACACUGGAACUGAGACACGGUCCAG
rnacentral:rRNA from 1 species